rnacentral:lncRNA from 1 species
AUUCACAGAGUUAGAAGCCCUGAAUUUUCAUAGGAUUUAUUUUGUACCUUCUGACAUGCAGGUAUUUUACCAGUAAGUUUAGAGUAGUUGUUACUUCUUGCUAACUAUGUCCAAUCAGCAAAAUGUCAGCGAUGUAAAGAACCAGUAUGACGUCUUGUGGAAGGGAAAGGUGGUCAAGUUACCUAUGACUAAAUUAUAACAUAGAGCUGGAGAGUGGAUUCACCCCUGAGAAAGGGCAGUAAAGGUGUACUUCUGGCCUUUCCAGUUGAAACAGAAUUUCUUCUGGUGUUCUCUACUAACAGGUCAAGAGAAGAAUGCAUUUGCCAGACCAAUAGCUGCAUAUCAAGUGCCAGAGGAUGUGGUAAAUUGCUCAAGCAAUGAAACCGGUUCUGGUACCGGAGCUGCAAUUGGCAUCACCACCUGGGGAAAGCCUUCAGUGUUUCACCAUUAAUUAAACUUCAUAUGGAGCCUGCAGAGCCAAGACAAUCCUAAGGAAAAACAAACAAACAAACAAGAAAAAAAACUAACGGAACA